rnacentral:sRNA from 1 species
ACUACACAACUGCAUUCAUAAUGACAAGAGAACAGAACAGAACAGAACAGGACACGCUACAUGACUGCAUCAUGAUGACAAUAGAACAGAACAGGACAGGACACGCUACACGACUGCACCAUGAUGACAAUAGAACAGAACAGGACAGGACACGCUACAUGACUGCAUCAUGAUGACAAUAGAACAGAACAGGACAGGACACAUUGACUGCAUCCUGAUGACAAUAGAACAGAACAGAAGAGGACACGCUACAUGACUGCAUCACGAUGACAAUAGAAAAGAACAGGACAGGACACGCUACAUGACUGCAUCAUGAUGACAAUAGAACAGAACAGGACAGGACACACUACAUGACUGCAUCAUGAUGACAAUAGAACAGAACAGAAGAGGACACGCUACAUGACUGCAUCAUGAUGACAAUAGAAAAGAACAGGACAGGACACGCUACACGACUGCAUCAUGAUGACAAUAGAACAGAACAGGACAGGACACGCUGCUUGACUGCACCAUGAUGACAAUAGAACAGAACAGGACAGGACACACUACAUGACUGCAUCAUGACAACAGUACAGAACAGGACAGGACACACUACACGACUGCACCUUGAUGACAAUAGAACAGAACAGGACAGGACACGCUACACGACUGCACCAUGAUGACAAUAGAACARAACAGGCAGGACACNGCUACAUGACUGCAUCAUGAUGACAAUAGAACAGAACAGGACAGAACACGCUACAUGACURCAUCAUGAUGACAAUANGAACAGAAUAGRACNCRCUACACAACUGCAUCAUGAUGCAGUCAUGUUGC